rnacentral:rRNA from 1 species
GGCGAACGCUGGCGGCGUGCCUAAUACAUGCAAGUUGAGCGCUGAAGGUUGGUACUUGUACCGACUGGAUGAGCAGCGAACGGGUGAGUAACGCGUGGGGAAUCUGCCUUUGAGCGGGGGACAACAUUUGGAAACGAAUGCUAAUACCGCAUAAAAACUUUAAACACAAGUUUUAAGUUUGAAAGAUGCAAUUGCAUCACUCAAAGAUGAUCCCGCGUUGUAUUAGCUAGUUGGUGAGGUAAAGGCUCACCAAGGCGAUGAUACAUAGCCGACCUGAGAGGGUGAUCGGCCACAUUGGGACUGAGACACGGCCCAAACUCCUACGGGAGGCAGCAGUAGGGAAUCUUCGGCAAUGGACGAAAGUCUGACCGAGCAACGCCGCGUGAGUGAAGAAGGUUUUCGGAUCGUAAUACUCUGUUGGUAGAGAAGAACGUUGGUGAGAGUGGAAAGCUCAUCAAGUGACGGUAACUACCCAGAAAGGGACGGCUAACUACGUG